rnacentral:rRNA from 1 species
UGGGGAAUCUUGCGCAAUGCGCGAAAGCGUGACGCAGCAACGCCGCGUGGGGGAAGAAGGCCUUCGGGUUGUAAACCCCUUUCAGGAGGGACGAAGCUUCGGGGUGAAUAGCCUUCCGGAGUGACGGUACCUCACUAAGAAGCCCCGGCUAACUACGUGCCAGCAGCCGCGGUAAUACGUAGGGGGCUAGCGUUGUCCGGAAUCAUUGGGCGUAAAGCGCGCGUAGGCGGCCAGAUAAGUCCGGUGUGAAAGUCACAGGCUCAACCUGUGAAUGCCGCUGGAAACUGCCUGGCUCGAGUCCGGGAGGGGCGAGUGGGAAUUCCUGGUGUAGCGGUGAAAUGCGCAGAUAUCAGGAGGAACACCAAUGGCGAAGGCAGCUCGCUGGAACGGAACUGACGCUGAGGCGCGAAAGCGUGGGGAGCGAACAGGAUUAGAUACCCUGGUAGUCCACGCCGUAAACGAUGGGCACUAGGUGUGGGAGGUGUCGACUCCUUCCGUGCCGUAG